rnacentral:rRNA from 1 species
AAUAGAUACCCAGGUAGUCCAUGCCGUAAACGUUGGGAACUAGGUGUGGGUCUCAUUCCACGAGAUCCGUGCCGCAGCUAACGCAUUAAGUUCCCCCGCCUGGGGAGUACGGCCGCAAGGCUAAAACUCAAAGGAAUUGACGGGGGCCCGCACAAGCGGCGGAGCAUGCGGAUUAAUUCGAUGCAACGCGAAGAACCUUACCAAGGCUUGACAUACACCGGAAUCACUCAGAGAUGGGUGCGUCUUCGGACUGGUGUACAGGUGGUGCAUGGUUGUCGUCAGCUCGUGUCGUGAGAUGUUGGGUUAAGUCCCGCAACGAGCGCAACCCUCGUUCUAUGUUGCCAGCACGUGAUGGUGGGGACUCAUAGGAGACUGUCGGGGUCAACUCGGAGGAAGGUGGGGAUGACGUCAAAUCAUCAUGCCCCUUAUGUCUUGGGCUUCACGCAUGCUACAAUGGCCGGUACAAAGGGCUGCGAAACCGCGAGGUGGAGCGAAUCCCAAAAAACCGGUCUCAGUUCGGAUUGGGGU